rnacentral:rRNA from 1 species
AUUGAACGCUGGCGGCAUGCUUUACACAUGCAAGUCGAACGGUAACAGGCCGCAAGGUGCUGACGAGUGGCGAACGGGUGAGUAAUGCAUCGGAACGUGCCCAGUCGUGGGGGAUAACUACUCGAAAGAGUAGCUAAUACCGCAUACGAUCUAUGGAUGAAAGCGGGGGACCGUAAGGCCUCGCGCGAUUGGAGCGGCCGAUGUCAGAUUAGGUAGUUGGUGGGGUAAAGGCUCACCAAGCCAACGAUCUGUAGCUGGUCUGAGAGGACGAUCAGCCACACUGGGACUGAGACACGGCCCAGACUCCUACGGGAGGCAGCAGUGGGGAAUUUUGGACAAUGGGCGCAAGCCUGAUCCAGCAAUGCCGCGUGCAGGAAGAAGGCCUUCGGGUUGUAAACUGCUUUUGUACGGAACGAAACGGCUCUGGUUAAUACCCGGGGCUAAUGACGGUACCGUAAGAAUAAGCACCGGCUAACUACGUG